GGCAAUGCCCGCAAGGGUGACCCAGCAACGCCGCGUGGAGGAUGAAUGUCGUAAGAUUGUAAACUCCUGUUAGAGGGGAAGAAUAGUACCGGUUGGACCGGUAUAUGACUGUACCCUCAGAGAAAGCCCCGGCUAACUACGUGCCAGCAGCCGCGGUAAUACGUAGGGGGCAAGCGUUGUCCGGAUUUACUGGGUGUAAAGGGCGCGCAGGCGGGAUAAAAAGUCAGUGGUGAAAUCCUACAGCUUAACUGUAGAACUGCCUUUGAUACUUUUAUUCUUGAGUUCGGGAGAGAGAGACGGAAUUCCAGGUGUAGUGGUGAAAUACGUAGAUAUCUGGAAGAACACCAGUUGCGAAGGCGGUCUCUUGGUCCGACACUGACGCUGAGGCGCGAAAGCGUGGGGAGCAAACA
rnacentral:rRNA from 1 species